rnacentral:rRNA from 1 species
AACGAACGCUGGCGGCAUGCCUAACACAUGCAAGUCGAACGAGACCUUCGGGUCUAGUGGCGCACGGGUGCGUAACGCGUGGGAACCUGCCCUUAGGUUCGGAAUAACUCCCCGAAAGGGGUGCUAAUACCGGAUAAGGUCUUCGGACCAAAGAUUUAUCGCCUUUGGAUGGGCCCGCGUUGGAUUAGCCAGUUGGUAGGGUAAAAGCCUACCAAGGCGACGAUCCAUAGCUGGUCUGAGAGGAUGAUCAGCCACACUGGGACUGAGACACGGCCCAGACUCCUACGGGAGGCAGCAGUGGGGAAUAUUGGACAAUGGGCGAAGGCCUGAUCCAGCAAUGCCGCGUGAGUGAUGAAGGCCUUAGGGUUGUAAAGCUCUUUUACCCGGGAUGAUAAUGACAGUACCGGGAGAAUAAGCUCCGGCUAACUCCGUG